AUGGGCGCGCUCUGCCUGCUCCCGUCCACGCCGCGGUCCUGCUCGGGCCGCGGCCUGGCCUCCUCGCCGCGCCCGCCCAGACCCGCGGCCGCGCUUCACCUGCCCCCCUCCGCUUCCCCCUCGCAGCGGCCCCAGCUCGCCGCGGCCGGGGGGCGGCGGUUCGCCGGCGUGUCGCGUGCCCGCGGGGAGAAGGGGGGCAAGAACGGCGGGGCGGAGUUCUUCCGGGAGGACGGCGUGGUGGACGACAUGGACGGGUACCUCAACUACCUCUCCCUCGAGUAUGACUCCGUCUGGGACACCAAGCCUGCUUGGUGUCAGCCUUGGACAAUAUUACUGACAGGAACCGUUGCAGUUGCGUGUAGUUGGGUGCUCAUCCACUCUGCUGUUAUUACCGGAGGAGUUUCUUUUGUAAUAUGUGCAUGGUGGUACAUAUUUCUUUACUCCUAUCCUAAGGCAUACACCGAUAUGAUAUCUGAGAGGAGGAAAAAGGUGGCCAGCGGUGCUGAAGAUACCUACGGGAUGGAGAAAAUGUAA
rnacentral:rRNA from 1 species